GGAGGGGCAGGGCGGUGUGGGAGGGGCGAGGACGGAGGGGAGGGGAGGAGAUGGAAGGGAGGGCGGGGCGGGGAUGGAGGAGAAGGGUGGAGCAGGGAGAGGCGGAGGGGCGAAAAGAGGAUGAAGGGGAGAGGAGAGGCGGGAUGAUCCCCCGCAGCUCUGAACGCCCGGCCUGCCUGUGCUUCGUGCGUUGCUGGGAGCGCCCCUGCCGGAGGCUCCCGGGCGGGUCGGCGUCCGCUUCCAGAGCCGAGGCCGGUUCUCACCCGGGCGGCCACGCCGCGCGCUGAACGGUUCCCCGCUGUCUCGGCUGAAAUGGGUGGGCAGAUCCUGUGCGCUACUUUUAAGUGCUAUAAUGAGCACCCUGAUUGUCAGCCCUGGGAGCAGCAAUGGCUCCGGGGAGCGGAGGGGGUGUCGUCCGCGCCCAUGUGCCAGGUCUGGACGCACGGAAGCCACAGCGGUGAUGGGCCCAGCGGAUAUUCCUCCGGGUGCGGGGUUGGGAAAUGGCUGGCGGGCCGCUGGACAGGAGCGCUGUCUCCCUGAGAUUUGCGGGGCUCGGGCUUGUGCAGCAGACUCUACGGGCGAACCCAGCCACGGAUGUCUGCAGGCAGCCCUGCGCGCGUGCAGACUCCAGGCAGGAGGCCAUGGCUCCCUCGUUCCUGCUCUGCCUGCGCCCUCACCCACCAGGCCGGCCGGGAUGACUGGGACCGACGGGGCUUUAUGGAAUGCAAAACUUUCGGACAGUCCAGGUGGUGAGUUAUGUGGAGCAGAGUCAAAUUUCCCAGUUGUCCCACCUGUGCUCAUUCUAGAACAGCUGAACUGCAGGUGACCAGCAGACAUGUGGGUGAGCCCACCCAAGACCAGAAGAACUGCCUAGCAGAGCCCUGCCUCAGUCGCUGAUUCACAGAGUUGUGUGUCAAUAUUUAUAGUGUGACAUGUCAUUGAGGUUAUGUGGUUGAUACACAGCAUUAUUGUGGCAGUUAAUCACGGAUUCACUCUAGCUCCGCACAGCUGCCAGAAAGAGCUCUCAGAUCUGUGAUAUCGCAGGACCCAGCAUGGUUCUAUAUGCAGUUUGAAGCAGAUGGUGACAGUGGAAGGACCUUGGUGUCAGGCAGACCAGAGUGUGGACCUGCAGUCUGCUACUUACAAGCAGUGUGACUCUGGCGUCCCUUCCUCUUCUGCCAUGAGUGGAAGCAGCCUAAAGCCCUCGCCAGGAGCAGAUGCUGGUGCCAUGCUUCUUGUACAGCCUGCAGAACUGCGCAACAAAUAAGGCUCCUGUUUUUAAAAUACAAUUAUCCAGCUUCAGGCAUUGGAGAGCUGCAGAGGCAACUAGGCCUAAGAGGCCAAGAUUCCUGAAAGCGAAAAACCAUGAAAAGAUGAGCCAUAUUCUGACGCUGCUCUUCCCUCAGGCACUUGGGAAUGCUGGGCCAGGCCUGGGCUACAGUUUGGCUGCAUCUCUAUCCAGAUCUCAUCCUGAUUGUAGCUCCCACAAUUACCACGUCAUGGGAGGGACCUGGUGGCAGAUCUCAUGGGAGUUCUUUUGCUUCUGCCACCACGUAAGAUGUGACUCUGCUCCUCAUUUGCCUUCUGCCGUGAUUGUGAGGCCUCCCCAGCCAUGUGGAAUUGUGAGUCAAUUAAACCUCUUUUUUAAAAUAAAUUACCCAGUCUUGGGUAUGUUUUUAUUAGC
rnacentral:lncRNA from 13 species